AUGACGCGAUGGGAGUCCCACUCAAACCUCACCUCCUCUCUAAACAUGGCGGAUCACAUUGCUGAACCUGACAGACAGCCACUCUCAGCCACUGCUCAAGAACUGACUUUUACAAAAGCAACAAACUGCAAACCAUGAUGGGCCUUAACAACUAAAUAAGGUCUCCUAACAGCGGCAGUGCCAGAGGAUCCUGGGGUGGGGGAGCUCACACUGGACUUACGUAUGCUGCUUCCCCUGCUCCAUGCACACCAACCCCGCUGUAGAUAAUCUGCUGUCCGUCAUCAGCUUAACAUGCUUGUCCGUCUUCCUGUUUGUCUGUAUGCUUUGUAAAUGGGCAGUGCCCCCUUGUGCCACGGAGGACUUCUGUUUCAUGUCGAGCACUUGGGGCGCUCUACUGGACUACAGUGCGUAGAGAUCAGAAAAGAUGCCAGAACUGCAACUCCUCUAUAAUGACACUGCUGGACUAGGAAUAAUCAGAGAGGCUGAAUUCUCUCCAGAAGACAAUGGCUCUUAGUCUGGACCUGUGCUUAUGAGCCAACUAAAGACUGUGGACCUGGUCUGGACCUGUGCUUAUGAGCCAACUAAAGACUGUGGACCUGGUCUGGACCUGUGCUUAUGAGCCAACUAAAGACUGUGGACCUGGUCUGGACCUGUGCUUAUGGGCCAACUAAAGACUGUGGACCUAGCGAACUGCUUGUGCUGUGACUGGCCUUCUGCUGGAGUACACCUUUGGCACUCUUGACUUUUUUUAUUGACCAAAGAGGGAAAAAAGGGUUCUGGACGAGAGGGGCCAAAUAGAAAGUGAAAUAUCCAAUGGCAACCUUUUCCCAACAGAUGCCUGCCCUCGCGAAACAGUGAAUCCGGAGGGUUGGCCUACCUGUGCCGUAUGAUUUCACAGGACAAAUGGACACAAUCAAAGGAGUACCUUUAAUACUUUGUUGACAUUUUUCUUGGACUUAACCCAACACUGUAUUUUGAAGCUGGAGUUAUAGGGACAGUAUACAUAUAUAUGUAUAUGUGUAUAAAACUGGAGUUAUAGGGACAGUAUACAUAUAUAUGUAUAUGUGUAUAAACAUCAGACUUGCAUUUUUCGGUAGCAACACCCGGAACAGUUUGCAAUAAGCAUGGUUGGUUAAAGUAAAAGAGAAAAAACACUGAUCAUCCGACAAAAAGAGAAUAUUCAAUAGUAAUUUCCGAUUGCCAUAAAAAAGGUCAUUAAAUGUAUUUUGAAAGACCGAAAGUUAUAUAUUUAACAGUUUUAUAUGUUGUACCUUUGUAGAGAACCUUAUUUAACAUGAAUAAUGUGGUCAGAUACCAGUCAUAGAAGGUCAGUGAGCUCUGCUCCAUCAUGCUGGUCUGUUCUGCUCUUUCUUUCUCCCACACAAGUAGCAGUUCUCUUUUUAUACCAAUCGCAGAACUUGGCCAUCUGUCCAUAUACAUCAAAAAGAGGAAAAAGGACAAAAUGUGAAAAAAUGACUGAUCAUGGUGAACUGAACUUUAUACCCCACUUUAGUAUCUGGAAUCAUGGAAAUUGGUAUUUGGUAUUGUAUUGUAAAGGUGUGGACAUUUGACUCAUUUCUUUAUGGAUUUGACCUAAUUUAUUUUUGUGCUUCUUGUGUUUGUUGCACAGUGCCGACCUCUGAGUGAUGACACUUGAAGGAAGAAUUAAGAAAGUCUUAGAAUCAUUUACAUGAGAUACUUUUUUAUUAUGAGAUAUUUUAAGAAUAAAUCGAUUGCGUGAAAGAAAUAUCACUUGCUAAAAUAGAAUUUCAAUAUACUUGGACCACUAGAUUGAUCUUACUUUGCAUAGAGGUUUUGUUGAAAAUUAUAUUGUUUUAUUUUGUGAAAUGCUAUAUUGAAAAGAACUGCUGCUUUCUUUAGAAGCAAUCACUAUGCAUUUGACGAAGUUCUGCGAAUGAUUGUCAUCCAAAUGUAGACACAAGCUAUAAACAUCACAUUUAUAAACGCAUAAUACACACAUAAAUUAAUGACUGAUUGGUUCAAAUUGAAUGUUUAAUGGGAACAGUCAUGCUGGGAUUUGAUUACAAUAAUCAUGAAUAUGGAAUGUAUUGAUGCUGCAAGUUAAAGGCUUUCGCUGAGAAUGGCAAUUAGGACAGCGAAAAUGACAGUUAAUGCACAUAACAGAACCUCAUCCAUUUGUUACACUGUGCGAGAUCUUCUCUGAUGACAGGCAUUUCAAUCAAAUGCAGAAAAAAACACUGACUGACAAGUUGCGCAUUAAGCACAAACCUUUAGUGAGUUUCACUGGCAUUUCUGCAAGGACAGAGGACACGCAGAAGACAACCAACUCAUUGGCAAGCACUCCCUCAUAUUCACAGUGCAUAGAGUACUAUUUAUGGUAUCUGCCAAUGCGGCUGGCGUCUUACAAUAUAAAACAGACUUGGCUUCAGUGGCCGUACGGAACAAAGUGACGCGAGACGAGCCCAGAGGCCAGGCAGAAAGCCACAAGAUGACCGCUUCCUCCAGCAUCCCAAAUAGAUUUGAACUCAAGGGCCAGACUGAACAGAUGCCUGUGCUUGUGAUUAAACUCGCGCCCUCUGUCAUUAACCUCAUCCUCUCCCUAUCUCCCAUGUCCAUACAGUUCCCACUAACACUUGGCUGAUGCACCUCUGAGUGCAACUGUUUCUUGCCAACACCAGCUGGAAAUUAAUAAAGUUGUGUUGACUGUG